rnacentral:lncRNA from 1 species
UUGUCUGGUGCCUGCUAUGAACUAAAUGCUUUUACUUAUAGUUGUUUAAUACUACCAAUAAAUGUUUUGACAAAUUUAACCCAUUAAUUUUAUGAUGAAGGCAGAAAGAGGCUUUUGAAAUUACUAACAUGUGGGGGUAUGAUGAGUUGUAUCCAUCCAUAGUAAUUGUUUAAGAGCAUACCUCUAAUUCCUCAGCUCUUAGACUCUCUUGCAAGCUUGAUAAUAAAGAGAAGGAUUUCAUGAUUUCUUGCUCUGACAACUUCCCAGGUAUUGCAGCUCUGUUCUU